GUGGGGAAUAUUGCACAAUGGGGGAAACCCUGAUGCAGCGACGCCGCGUGAGGGAUGACGGCCUUCGGGUUGUAAACCUCUUUCAGUAGGGAAGAAGCCUUCGGGUGACGGUACCUGCAGAAGAAGUACCGGCUAACUACGUGCCAGCAGCCGCGGUAAUACGUAGGGUACAAGCGUUGUCCGGAAUUAUUGGGCGUAAAGAGCUCGUAGGCGGUUCGUCGCGUCUGCUGUGGAAACGCAAGGCUCAACCUUGCGCGUGCAGUGGGUACGGGCGGACUAGAGUGCAGUAGGGGAGUCUGGAAUUCCUGGUGUAGCGGUGAAAUGCGCAGAUAUCAGGAGGAACACCGGUGGCGAAGGCGGGACUCUGGGCUGUAACUGACGCUGAGGAGCGAAAGCAUGGGGAGCGAACAGGAUUAGAAACCCUAGUAGUCC
rnacentral:rRNA from 1 species